UUGAAUUUCAUCAGCAGCUUCUUUGAAUUCCUUAUUUCUAACGAAAUGUGUCUGGUUGUAAUCCGUUUUGAAUUCCUGCAACAACGCUUCGAAUUCUGCUUCGUUCAAGUUCUUGUUCAUCUCGGUGUUGAAUAGUUGCUCCAUCUCGUCGAAAUCAGUCGUGUAGAAGCGUGGCGCCAGCAGGGUUUCCUUGAUUCCCUUCUUGUUUUUUCCACCGCCGGUUCCUUUUGUGGUGGUGGGGGUGGUGGUGGUGGCUGCUGACAUACGAACAAUGGUUGAGAUUCUCUGUGGCAGGAUUGUUCUUGCGGAGGUGAUGGUGGUGCUGCCGCAGUAUCCGAUUUUGGAGAUGGGUUUGAGCAAUGCCAUCUCUGCUGCCAUUGUUGGUUGUGGAUUUCGUUGUUG
rnacentral:lncRNA from 1 species